UCCAGCAGUCGCCAUCUUAAUAUUAGUGCUCCGAAAGAUAACUUGUCGUAUUUGUGGAUAUCGUGUUAAUACUUGCGUAGCCCAAAAAUAUGCGGUUUCAGUGAUACAGCUAUUAAAGAUAUCGCCGAAAUGUGCCGUUUGCAGUACAGAUUUGUGGUACUACAGUCGCAUAAAGUCCGAUAACGGCAUAUAAUAAUGUUAUUUAGUUUGUAACGCUCAAUUUUUCAGUUUUUUUUAGGGUCUUUCCGAUUUACAUGUGUGGUGUGUGUCACUGUAACAGCGUUCUUGUGUUUAUUGGAGGAGUGUCUGUUGCAGUGGGAGAUGCCUGAUGGCCACAAUAGUGUGCAGGACCCAUUAGGCUUCGAAGAGGAAUGUUCACCUCCAGAAGACUUUCUUGCACAUUCAGUAUUGAGAAGACUGAGGACGAGGGAGAUAAGGAGGCUAUGAACGAGGACCACUUUGAGGACUUGAAACAUGAAGUGGAGUCAGCAAGUAGCGGCAUUGAACCAGAAAGAAACAAGUUCUACAGAGACAGUCCUGUGGCUCAAGUAAAUUUCUGACUUUUAUUAAAAGAUAAAACAAUACAUUCCACUCAAGGUAAUUCCUGACAUUCUUAAAAGUUCUUAGCUAAAGCAGAAAGAACUAGACCUAUUGUAUUGUUGUAACUUCAACAGAAAUGUAAUAUUUAUGAGUAUUGAUAGUUAAAUAAUGAACAUUUUGAGUACAUAUUUCACAAAUUAUUUGACUUUCCAUCAGAAAAAAUUGGACAGAAAUCCGAAAAUAUCAUCUAAUUUUAUAUUGACAUGUUAAAUAUAAAACACUUUUUAAUUGCAUAGGUUGUGAUACAUGUAAGGAAAACUCACCAGUAUUACAUAAAGUUUAGAAAAUUUUUGAUGUGCUGACAAAUGUCAUUAUAUAAAAUACUAUAUUCAAAUUUUUCUAGCCUUUAUCUUAGCAAAAGUUUCUAAAAUAGAAUCUAAGUCUACUGACUUCAAGGGACCACUUUCAAUCAUUAAUCGUCCUUGAGAAAUUAUUGACCUAAGAUAUAUCUUUAUCAAUUUGAGUUUCGAAAAAUUCAGAAUUUUACAGUUCAAAUAAAUUUUUACCAACUGGGGCAAUAUUUGAUACUGAAAUUAAUGGCAGCUCGUACCCACACAUAUAUAAUUAGGUGGUGCAAAAAUCUCCUUUGUGGACCCAAGUUUGCUGGAACAUUUUUGCUUCUAUUAUCGCACUCUCAACAGUGUCAGUUUUCACUGCUAGUUAUUAUAGACCCUGCAUACAAGUUUUGCACUUGUAUACCUCAGGAGCCCCUCUCAGCUCGGCACCCAAAGUGGCUCCAUGUGUCACUGGGUCUUAAAGUAGCCCUGAAACUGCAACUACUCUGGUGAGUUACUGAGUACCAGAUUAAUAUUAUCUGAUGAUAACCUGAUAACAAGUAGAGACUGGCAGUGAAAAUAUGCACCCCAUAUACGAUAUUUUCGCUAAAAUAAAAAGUUAAUAGCAAAACUGAAAUCCAUACAAUGCACACUGAAAAGAUGGAUACCAAUGUUGGAAAGUAUCAAAAUGAAUGACCUCUGAAACAAAGUCAAGGAGUAAUUCACACUAUUAGGUUGGUACACAAGUUUGUACCUUUUUCGUUUUGCAUGUUGGUAUUCCGGUUGCUUUGGGUUUAUUUACAGAUUGUCAUUUUUUACUUUUAGUUCACCAUUGCUAUAACAAUGGUAAUUACUGCGCAAACAGCUCUAUCCAUUACCAUGGAACAAGAGCUAGACUCAACUUACAUUUACCAAAAAAAAA